rnacentral:ncRNA from 2 species
ACCUGGUCGCACGGGAGUCCGAGAAACGGGCUGAGAGGGAGCUGGGAUCGCUCCGACCGUCGAACCUGAUCCGGGUCAUGCCGGCGCAGGGAGCGUGGUGUGUGGUGAA